rnacentral:sRNA from 1 species
GAAAUGCCCGAACUCGACGGUAGGCCUA